GCCGCGGUCUGCGGAAUGUCAACUAUUCAACAUGGAGGCGGAGGUCGAUAAGCUGGAACUGAUGGUGAGUGCAAAGUGAAGGAGAUCUACUGGGUAGUUUAUUUUUCCCCCAUGGCCUCGGAGGUGGGGCACAAUUUGGAGUCGCCGGAAACUCCGGGCGGCGGAGGCUGGACCAGAGUCGAGUUCCCUCCUCCUGCACCAAAGGGAGCCGCCACCGUCUGGUGUCUAAACCGCCUCG
rnacentral:lncRNA from 1 species